rnacentral:rRNA from 1 species
GGUGCUGAAGCAACAAAUGCCCUGCUUCCAGGAAAAGCCUCUAAGCAUCAGGUAACAUCAAAUCGUACCCCAAACCGACACAGGUGGUCAGGUAGAGAAUACCAAGGCGCUUGAGAGAACUCGGGUGAAGGAACUAGGCAAAAUGGUGCCGUAACUUCGGGAGAAGGCACGCUGAUAUGUAGGUGAAGCGACUUGCUCGUGGAGCUGAAAUCAGUCGAAGAUACCAGCUGGCUGCAACUGUUUAUUAAAAACACAGCACUGUGCAAACACGAAAGUGGACGUAUACGGUGUGACGCCUGCCCGGUGCCGGAAGGUUAAUUGAUGGGGUUAGCGCAAGCGAAGCUCUUGAUCGAAGCCCCGGUAAACGGCGGCCGUAACUAUAACGGUCCUAAGGUAGCGAAAUUCCUUGUCGGGUAAGUUCCGACCUGCACGAAUGGCGUAAUGAUGGCCAGGCUGUCUCCACCCGAGACUCAGUGAAAUUGAACUCGCUGUGAAGAUGCAGUGUACCCGCGGCAAGACGGAAAGACCCCGUGAACCUUUACUAUAGCUUGACACUGAACAUUGAGCCUUGAUGUGUAGGAUAGGUGGGAGGCUUUGAAGUGUGGACGCCAGUCUGCAUGGAGCCGACCUUGAAAUACCACCCUUUAAUGUUUGAUGUUCUAACGUGGACCCGUAAUCCGGGUUGCGGACAGUGUCUGGUGGGUAGUUUGACUGGGGCGGUCUCCUCCUAAAGAGUAACGGAGGAGCACGAAGGUUGGCUAAUCCUGGUCGGACAUCAGGAGGUUAGUGCAAUGGCAUAAGCCAGCUUGACUGCGAGCGUGACGGCGCGAGCAGGUGCGAAAGCAGGUCAUAGUGAUCCGGUGGUUCUGAAUGGAAGGGCCAUCGCUCAACGGAUAAAAGGUACUCCGGGGAUAACAGGCUGAUACCGCCCAAGAGUUCAUAUCGACGGCGGUGUUUGGCACCUCGAUGUCGGCUCAUCACAUCCUGGGGCUGAAGUAGGUCCCAAGGGUAUGGCUGUUCGCCAUUUAAAGUGGUACGCGAGCUGGGUUUAGAACGUCGUGAGACAGUUCGGUCCCUAUCUGCCGUGGGCGCUGGAGAACUGAGGGGGGCUGCUCCUAGUACGAGAGGACCGGAGUGGACGCAUCACUGGUGUUCGGGUUGUCAUGCCAAUGGCACUGCCCGGUAGCUAAAUGCGGAAGAGAUAAGUGCUGAAAGCAUCUAAGCACGAAACUUGCCCCGAGAUGAGUUCUCCCUGACUCCUUGAGAGUCCUGAAGGAACGUUGAAGACGACGACGUUGAUAGGCCGGGUGUGUAAGCGCAGCGAUGCGUUGAGCU